rnacentral:rRNA from 1 species
AGCGAACGCUGGCGGCAGGCCUAACACAUGCAAGUCGAACGAAGUCUUCGGACUUAGUGGCGGACGGGUGAGUAACACGUGGGAACGUGCCUUUAGGUUCGGAAUAACUCAGGGAAACUUGUGCUAAUACCGAAUGUGCCCUUCGGGGGAAAGAUUUAUCGCCUUUAGAGCGGCCCGCGUCUGAUUAGCUAGUUGGUGAGGUAAAGGCUCACCAAGGCUACGAUCAGUAGCUGGUCUGAGAGGAUGACCAGCCACAUUGGGACUGAGACACGGCCCAAACUCCUACGGGAGGCAGCAGUGGGGAAUCUUGCGCAAUGGGCGAAAGCCUGACGCAGCCAUGCCGCGUGGAUGAUGAAGGUCUUAGGAUUGUAAAAUCCUUUCACCGGUGAAGAUAAUGACUGUAGCCGGAGAAGAAGCCCCGGCUAACUUCGUGCCAGCAGCCGCAGUAAGAC